UGUAUAUGUUGCAGAAUAACUAGGACUGGGACGAUACACCGAUGCAUCGGUGAAUCGCGGUACACUUCAACAUGAUACAAGUAUCGAUCCAAAGAAGCAAAUUACGAUACGGUAUCGAUCCGCUAUAUUUUUGUGAAAAACAAAAAGCAUUGCUUCAUAUUAUCAUUUGAAAUCCAUUAAACAAAGCUUUUAAAGUAAAAUAAUUGUAAACAAACACCGAAAGAUCGAAAAUGCUGAAAGUGAAAGUACUUGCGAGUCUCGUUUCCGGGAAUGGGGCACUAUGUUAGGAAGCGUUUGAUUGGUCGUUUCACGAUGACUGUUUCAUGGUUAGCCAAUCAAAUAGUAGAUUACAAAACCAUUGCUAGACUAAAUGUGUUUAUAAAUGGACGACUGGGAUGAGUUAGUUACGCCGCAAGGCACAAAAUCGUCCGUGUGGAAGACGAUCGGUCAGCCUGUUUAUAAAAAACAAAGAUGGCAGUGGCAUCAGGAAGACUGACAAAACAAAAACCAUUUGUAAGGUCCCGGACUCAAAAUCGGCCCGGUGUUCGGAAUUCAGAGGGAAGCACUGCAUCAAAUAUCGGAGCUCAUGGAGAUACGGGCUGGUCAUCUUGUUUAUCAAAACAGCGUAAGGAAAUUUUCAGGAUGUAUUCCCGACUUCAAAACGUAGAAAUUCAUGGUCAUCUAGAAGAGGCAAUGCGUGGGUAGCGCGUGUGAAGAAACUCGCGAGUAACUUUUAUAUGUUACAAAACUUAACAGUACCACUACAAUUAGAGUAAAAAUGCAUAACAUUAGCAGAGACAUAUAUACAUGUCUCUGACAUUAGUAAUGCACUCAUCGUGUCUAAUGAUUAUACGUGGUUCAAAAAUAUAUGGAGAAACCGACGAAACCAAGGAAACAAACUUCGGACAUACAGAUGUUUCAAAAAGGAUUAUAUAUUUCUGAAUACUACGUCACAUCCUACCUCUAGUGAUAGAGACUGGUCGUUACACAAACUUAACGGAGGACCAGCGAGUAUGCUCAUUUUGUAUGAACACUGUUGAAAAUGAAAUACAUUUCCUAUGUGAAUCAACAAUCUAGUACACUAAGUAACGAUUUUUAUUCUUUAAAUGCCAGAGACAGGUUUGUAUAUAUUCUGCAAAAUAUGAACCUCAAUAUCUUUAAUCUAAAUCUAUAUAUUUUAUGAAGCAUAGACGUUCGAUUUUUUUUACGUAUGAAACAAAAUUCAACACUUGAAACUUACCCCAGACUGAACAGGGAGUGUUUUUUAAUAUGUGUACCUGAUAUUGCUACAGUAAAUCACAGUAAAUUGGAGUUUUAUAUCUUGCGAUAAAUCAGAACGUCGACAUACAUUGUAGGCUAUGGUGUAUAUAGAUAAAAGUCAUCUUGUACAUUUUUAACAAGCUUUUAUCAUUAUCCUCAUUGUACAUUUUUAAAUGAUGUGUGACAAUCAAAUAAAAUAUUAUUGUAUUGGUA